rnacentral:lncRNA from 1 species
UUCACCUCCUGGAAAAGUGUUCUAUUUUGGGGAAUGUUUGUGUGUGUUUCCAUUAGUUUUGCUUUUGUUAGCUAAAAACUGCUAGCUGCUGAGAUGUUUUGAGAACAGCUGACGAGUUAGAUUGCUUUGGAGCCCUUACAGUUGGGAAACAUGGCAGGCAGGCUCUUAUUUUGAAAGAGGCUCGUUGGUGUUGCAGAUGGAGGAACUUGAGAACUGCCAUGCUGGUGCUGCUGUUCUGGUGUCUGUGCUGCUGACCAUCAUCAGUAACAAACACCUUCAAGGAAGGCGAGUGUUCCUGAGCACUGGGAUGACUGUCAUCGGCAUGGCUAGACUGAUAAAGACACAUUAG